rnacentral:rRNA from 1 species
UACGAAGGGUGCAAACGUUGCUCGGAAUUAUUGGGCGUAAAGGGUGCGUAGGUGGCGCUGUAAGUCGGGUGUGAAAUCCUGAGGCUUAACCUCGGAACUGCAUUCGAUACUGCGGCGCUUGAGGACUGGAGAGGAGACUGGAAUUCAUGGUGUAGCAGUGAAAUGCGUAGAUAUCGUAGGGAAGACCAGUGGCGAAGGCGGGUCUCUGGACAGUUCCUGACGCUGAGGCACGAAGGCCAGGGGAGCAAACGGG